UUUUUUUUUUUUUUUUUUUGCUUUUUAGGACUGCACCCAAGGCAUAUGGAGGUUCCCAGGCUAGGGGUCCAAUUGGAGCUAUAGCCACUGGCCUACACCAGAGCCACAGCAACGCGGGAUCCAAGCUGCAUCUGCGACCCACACCACAGCUCAUGGCAACGCUGGAUCCUUAACCCACUGAGCAAGGCCAGGGAUCGAACCCACAACCUCUUCGUUAACCACUGCGCCACGACAGGAAUUCCCCAAUGAUGAUGUUUUGAUCGAUGUUUUUCAUUCCUCUUCUCUGUGACAUCCCGCCACCCCACCCCCACCCUCACCCCAUAGAAUGGAGGCGCCUGUCCUCUCUUCAUUGCCCUCCCCACCCCCAUCCCCCGCCAGGGAGCUCUGCAAGGGAGCAAAGUGUGUAUGAAGGAGGGAGGGAGGGACAGGUUAGUUUCCUGGGCCUGAAACUAAAUGACAGUGUGUGAAACUAAAGCUGGAUUUUGCUGAUCUGUUGGCUCUUACCCAUGUGCACUCUCCACCCCAGCUUUUUUUAAAAAUUUUUUAAUUUUUGUCUUUCUUUUUAGAGCCACACCUAGGGCACAUGGAGGCUCCCAGGCUAGGAAUCCAGUUGGAGCUGUAGCUGCCGGCCUACACCACAGUCACAGCAAUGCAAGAUCUGAGCCACGUCUGUGACCUCCACCACAGCUUACAGCAGUGCUGGAUCCUUGACCCACUGAGCAAGGCCAGGGAUGGAACCCGCAACCUCAUGGGUCCUAGUCAGAUUUGUUUCCACUAUGCUAUGAUGGGAACUCCCCACCCACGCCAACCUUUUAAAAUGUCCAGGCAGGCAAGGUCCUCUCACAGGUGCUUGUGUAUCAGCCCAAGUAGCUACUAAUCCACCUGUGCCACCUUGGCCCGCCCAGGUUCCCCCGUGAUGAAGGGAGCAUCUCUCCUGCUCCAUGGGUGCCCAAAGCUGGGGACAGAUCAAAAGACCCAGGGUUUCUUGGGUCUUGUGUGAACAUAGGGUUUGAUAGGAUGGCAGAUCACAGCCACCAGGCUGAGUACAAAACCCACUUCCCUUCUGCUCUAAUUCUCAACCAGCCCUGAUCCCCCUGGUAGUUUUUCCCCACCUCUAAGUCUCCAGCCCACUGUUCCUUCCUGAUUUUGCUAGACAAAAUCUUUUUUGCUCGUGUGCCUCUAAACCCCAUGUGCAAGCAGAGCUCAGGUCUGUCCUCUGCAUCCAAUCUCCUGCCAGGACCUCCUGGGAUGGAUCGGUGGGUACCAGCAUAUGGAGAAGGUGGCAGUCACUGGCCAGGUGGAUCUCAGCUCAGUUCCACCCGGACGGGCUGCUCCACCACAGGAGGCCAUGGGAGUCACUGAGAGAUGGAAAUGGUUGAUGGCUUUCUUCUCCUGGUAGAAGUUUGUGUUAGAUUUGUUUCUAAUGAUGAAGUUGCACUUAAGUCAUUUUGCAGGUGGGGAGGUCAGGGAGUUGAAUUCAUUCAGAUCAAACUUAACUGGUUUGCAUGAUACUUGUUAGAUUAUCUUUUAAACCCCUCUUUCACCUGAUCUCUGUAUGUGAAAUAGUGAAAUGCUUUCGUAUUUAUCUCCCCGUACCAAGAGAGGUAUGGAUAUGUGGAGAGAUUAAUUUAUUAAAGGGCAAGUGAAGUUAUAGCCCCUUCCCUUUUUUGUUUUUUUAUUUUUAUUUUUAAUCAUUUUGCCAUGUCCACGGCAUGCAGAAGUUCCCGGGCCUGGGAUUGAAUCCCAGCCCCAGCAGUGAAAACGCCCAAUCUUUAACUUCUAGGCCACCAGCCCCUUCAUUUUUUAAAAUAUUACUUUCAACUCUAAUAACUGUUUCUAAAAUUUGACUCUAAGCAUCAGUGAAAUUGGGGACCACGACUGCUUACUCCCGUCAUCCUUUUAGCACCUGGCACCGAGGCACUUAGUGCUGCCGUAAUGCACAAAUAAAGAAUUUAUUGCAGGAUCUGCCACAUUGGAGCUGUCUGCUGGAGGAUGUAUUAUGUAAGAAGCUCGUGUGAAGCUUUAAAAUUGUAUCAGAUGAAGUAGGUGAAGUCCCUAGAGGAGGUGAAUCAGUGGGAGGAGGCUGUGAUGGUUUAUUUCUGUUCCCGCCUGGUACAGGCCCAGGAGGGUCUGCUGGCUGAUCCAAUGUAAAGCCUACAUGGCAGGCUGGGGGGCUGAUGGGCCCACAGCAGACCCAUGGGUUGGAGGCAUGGAGGAAGCCCAGCGGCAGCAGGCCUGGUUUGGCCCCAGGGCUGUGCAUGGGAUGAAAGUUGCAGGCCUCAUGGGCUCGGUAAAGUGGACUGGCCAUGUCCAUUUGGCAUUUAUUACAGCCACAGGGCUGGUUCACGACUCCAGGCGGGGGACAGGGGACUCUCUGCUGAAUUUCUCCUGGCUGCUUCUGUAUGGGCAUUAGCUUGGUUCUUUCCAGACUCUGAUGCAGCCCUAGCAGUUCCCAUGUUUACAUGUUAUAGGCGUGGCCACAGUGGGGGACGGUCCUGAUCCCCGGCCUGGCCCAAAUACUGCAUUGCUGAGCAACAUGAAAUAAUAGUUCCAUCAGCCACAGCCAGGCCUGGGGAUGAAGUCAGAGCCACACAGGACUCCCCAGGGCCCACCUGGUGGCGAUGAGUAAAUAGUCCUAGGGAAGAAAUUUAAUUAGGAAUCCAGUUUACACAGAAAAAUGUCUUUGGUGUUUAAAAUAAUUAAUAUUUUUACAAGUUGCUUUCAGGUUUUCAUUUGACCUGUGGGGGUGCAGGACAGUAGUGGAGCUACAGAAAGAUUAGGCUAGAUAUGUGGGUCCAGAAAAUAGCAAAAUGCGGUGUUGAGAAGAAGUGGGCAUCCGCCAGUUACUCACACUUGAUCUUAUCUUUUUCCAAAGCCUCGGUUUACAGCUCCAAGACGUGGGGGUGAUGAUUCGUGCUUGUCUGUAUCAUAAGAUUCUGCUGAAGAUUAGGUGGGUGGUUUGCCCCAGCCUCUCCUCUUCUCUCAUUCCUUAGGCUGUCCCUAGGUGUCUUAAUUUCUCAGGUGCAGAAUCAGGUGUUUCUCCAUCAAACAACCAAAACUAUCCAGAAAUCUGAUCUCCCACCUUGUUGCACUGGCUUAUUUUUUGGCAGUUUCUCCCUUCUCCUCACUUCAUUUCUGCUUCUCUUGUCUUGGUUUAGGCCAUCAUCUUCUGUUGCUGGAUGCUUUUGUAGCCA
rnacentral:lncRNA from 1 species